rnacentral:ncRNA from 1 species
CUAUAGUUUGAUUCUUGCUAUUACCUUUAUUAUUUGGCUUGAAGAAUACAUGCAAAUUUUAGUUUGUAAUUUGUAGCAUUGUCGAUUAGAUAUGGGAGAAUGCGUGAUAAGGUAGCAAAAGCUAUAAUUUUUAGAAGUGCAGUAUUAAAAAUUUAAUAAAUCAAAUAAAUGUGGAUUAAGCAAAGCCUAUUUAGGUCAGGUUAAAACUUGUGCCAGCAGCCGCGGUUAGACUCGAUGUUCUAGUAAAGGUGAGUAAGUGUAAAGGUUAAAUAAUUGGAGUUUGAUAGAGCUUACGCGUUCAAUAUAACAAUGAGUGAAACCUGUUUGUUAGUCUUUAAAAUUGAGCGUGAGCUUCGUUGGGCUUAUGUUGAGGCCUAGAAAAUUUAGGUAAGGACCAGGAUUAGAUACCCUGUUACUCUAAUAGGAGCAAAUAUUAUAAACUUGAGUAUUAGUAAUUAAUUAAUUUUAAAUUCAAAGAACCUGGCGGUACUUUAGUCUAGUUGGAGGAACCUGUUUCAUAAACGAUAAACCACGUAAAAUCUUUCUUGUUCUUGUACAGUUAGUAUACCUUCAUUACAGAUAAUUUUUAUUGAUUGAUUAUUGCAAUUAGUACGGAAUACACGCUAAGUAAAUUAGAUCAAGGUGCUGCAAAUGAUCAAGUAGAAAUGGGUUACAAUGGUUUUUAACGUUAAGCGGAGUAUGUUUAGGAUUAAGCAUAUGAAGAUGGAUUCAAUUGUAAUUUUAACUUUAAUAAGGUAAAAUGGUAUUAGCUCUAAAGUGUGUACAUAUUGCCCGUCGCUUUCAUUAAGUUAAAUGAGAUAAGUCGUAACAUAGUGGGUGUACUGGAAAGUGCACCUAGAAG